rnacentral:rRNA from 1 species
CCAAUAGCGUAUAUUAAAGUUGUUGCAGUUAAAAAGCUCGUAGUUGAAUUUCGGAAUCUGUCCGUUGGUCGGGCUUAACUGUCCGUACUGAUGUGAUGGGUUCUUACCUUCUGAAUAACCAUCAUGCCAUUAAUUUGGUGUGUUGGGGAAGCAGGACUAUUACCUUGAAAAAAUUAGAGUGCUCAAAGCAGGCUAGCGCCUGAAUACAUUAGCAUGGAAUAAUAAAAUAGGACGGCAUGGUUCUAUUUUGUUGGUUCCUAGGAUCACCGUAAUGAUUAAUAGGGAUAGUUGGGGGCAUUAGUAUUCAAUUGUCAGAGGUGAAAUUCUUGGAUUUAUUGAAGACUAACUUCUGCGAAAGCAUUUGCCAAGGAUGUUUUCAUUAAUCAAGAACGACAGUUAGGGGAUCGAAGACGAUCAGAUACCGUCGUAGUCUUAACCAUAAACUAUGCCGACUAGGGAUCGGACGAUGUUAAUUUUAUAAUGACUCGUUCGGCGCCUUACG